GACGAACGCUGGCGGCGUGCUUAACACAUGCAAGUCGAGCGGUAAGGCCCUUUCGGGGGUACGACGAGCGGCGAACGGGUGAGUAACACGUGGGUGACCUGCCCUUACGCUCUGGGAGUAAGCCUGGGAAACUGGGUCUAAUACCGGAUAUGACUCCAUGACGCAUGUUGUGGGGUGGAAAGCCUUGUGCGGCUAGGGAUGGGCCCGCGGCCUAUCAGCUUGUUGGUGGGGUGAUGGCCUACCAAGGCGACGACGGGUAGCCGGCCUGAGAGGGCGACCGGCC
rnacentral:rRNA from 1 species